GGAGGGUUCGCAUAGCGGUCUAGUGCGCACGCUUGGAAAGCGUGUAAGGGGUCAUUCCCUUCGAGAGUUCGAAUCUCUCACCCUCCG
rnacentral:tRNA from 1 species